UCCCAUAUGGUCGAGCGGUUAGGAUUCCUGGUUUUCACCUAGGUGGCUGGGUUCAACUCCCGGUAUGGGAA
rnacentral:tRNA from 1 species